AAAAAUAGCAAUUGUUUGGUGAAAUUCCAAGUAUGAGAGUUGGCAAAGAAAACACAAACCGUCCAUGCAGCCAAUUUGAAGUCCCAGACAAUCACUGAAUAUUUUCCCACUUUGUGGACUUUUGUUUACUUUUUCUCUAUUAUUUGUUAUCGUGAAAAGAGAUGUUGGUUUUAAUGAGGGAUGGGUCUUGUUCACAAUUAUCUUUCAUUGUGUUAAUUGAAAUUAUAUACAGUAAAGGUACUGGGUAAUAUUAAUGCUCAAUUUUGUGACGACAAUGUCCAUCAGUCUG